AUAGAGACAAAGUCUGUGUUGCCCAGGCUGGUCUCAAACUCCUGGCCUCAAGGUAUCCUCCCACCUCAGCCUUCCAAAGUGUUGGGAUUAUUGGCGUGAGCCACCAUGCCUGGCCUGCAGUGUGUUAAUAAGCUCUAACAUGAAACAAAAGAUGAGAAAGGGGGAUAGAAAAUGGUAAUGGAGAUAAAAUACUAGAAAGGGACACCAGAUUUCACUGGUAAGGUCCUUUAGGAAGGAAGGGAACAAUGUAGGUGGCUACAUGGGGAAGAGUAGCCCAUGUAGAGGGGGCAGCAAGUGCCAAGGCCCUGGGGUUGGUUGUCCGAUCUGAGGAGGUGUAUUGGCAUAAUCUGAUUAGUAGGAGCAGGUUGGAGCUGCCUGAAUAGGGCUAUAGUUUAGAAAUACCCUGUAGAGAGGAAGUGGUGCCUGGUAUACUGUACCAGGUACGGCAACUGAAAGAAGAUUUAGUUGGCAUUGCAAAGCCUGGAAUCUAAGGAGAGAGGACACAUAUAGGUGGCAAUCUGUGCCAGAGGUCAGUAAUGGGUGGAGAGAAUGUAUUUAAUGAGUGGAUAGCAAGAGUGGUGGGAAUUUGCCUAUUGUCGGCUCUAAAUAUUCUAUGCUGUGCUCUGUGAUGUCAGAUCUGAGGCUCUGCAAACUGCAGUCAGAGAUUCCUUUACCAAUAGGCUUCCUCUUAGGUUCUGUCAAGAGGAGGCAGAAGAUGAAGACUGAAAGUCAGGAGGAGGAGAGAAGAGAGUAAUUUUCUAUUUCUUGAUAUCAAUGUCAUUGCUCCAGAAGUGGCACUUUGCCCCAGCAGUGGCAUUUCAUAUCACUGUGGCAGUUUAUUAUGGCUUCCAGCUUCUUUCCGCAUUCCCAGAACCAGCCUCAACUUCCUUCCUCAAUGGUACCAGCACCGUUCAAUGUUAUGAACCAUCUCAAAGGUCAGAGCCCUAGCUUCACGGUGCCCACUUCUUCUAGUGCCUAAGUUCUGAUAGCCCCAACCCUCACCUUUUCAUCCCCCAGCCUUGGGAUGGUAAUUGCUUUCUGCUUUAUGCAGUUAUUAAAUUUCCGCUCAGUCAGCUCUCCAACACCUGUGUGAUCAAUCAAUUCCUUAUUAAAUCCAUGCUCUUGAAAUACCUAAUAUGGUGUCUACUUUCCUGACCGGAUCUUGACUCUGUCUACUUGUUGACCAAGUACUUGCCUGGAUUUCUGAGUAAUACCUCCCUGUGGAUUCCGUGCUCUGGGCUCUACUCCUACAUCAAAGAGUUACUGGGAAUGCCAACAUGCGUCUCUGAGUGGUUUCCUUGUCUGUCAUAAUUGGAAUAACAAUACCCAUCUUCUAUUCUGGUAGCAGUGUUAGUUAAUUUACUAGAAAAGGCACCUGUACAGAGACCUGAAAAGGGCAUGACUUCAAAUCACAGAAGCCUGUUUGAUGCAGUUUAAGCAGCAAAUGGGAACACAGUAUAUGGACACUAGUGUCAUAUGGAAUCCAAGAGCAGGAAGAGCAUCUCGACCUUGGGAAGAGCUUGCAACUGAGAACUCGAAAACUGCCAGGAGUCUAACUUGCCUUUGCUUUUUUCUGCACAUUGACUUCAUUCUUUUUUCCCUGCUGGCCAGGUCUAUAGGGGAGGGAGCAGUACCAAGGUCACUGUAGACUGAGAAGACCUACAAACACCUACUCUCCUGGGCCUCAGUAAUGCCAAUGAAACUUGGAAUUGGGGUCCAGAUGAGAUGUAGGUCUUUAAUCCCAAAUGGACUAGCUGCUACUGAACAGAUCCCCCUAUCUCAGGCUUAGAUUGAUUCUAAGGAGGUGGGGAGGGAUGAGACUGAGUCUGCAGAUGAGGAUCCAGGGGUCUCGGUUGCAGGAAGUGAGAGAGAUGCAGACUCAGGACCCAUCUCUCCAUUCACUUCUGCCAGUUCUCUCAAGUGUAUUCCAGAUUUCUCGUGAAAAAGAAAAAAAUUCUACCUCCAAUCUUCAUUCUGUUGAAGAAACUGGGGCUCCCCAUGGGCUAAGCAAAGAAUGAAAGAUUUCAGGGCUUGAUCUGUGUUCUCAGAGAUUACUGACAUCCCAUAGGGUGAUCUUGUCUAGAUUCCAUCCCCCUCAAACCACUCCCCUGACCCCUGAUUGGUUUUGGGGUGCUUUGCCUAUUUAUUUUUUCUAUUUGUUUUAUUCACCUCAAAUCUCUUAAAUGUUUAAAAUGAAAACAGUUUAUGCACCUGUGUUCUUCUCUGGGACAUGGAGGACCUUAAAGAACACAGAUUCCAUCCAUAAGAUAAACAUCUGAGCCUUCCCAGAAACAGACAAGGAUUACAGAGAAUCAGAAUCUGGUCUUUAUCUCGAAAGGCAAUUUGAGUGCUGCUGGACAUUGCAAACUGGAAUUGUACAUGGAAAAAUAACAUUGGUGCUAUAAAUUCCUUUCUGCUUUGAAAUAUGUUGUGUGUUAGAAACAGAGAGGUAAUGUUUAUGGUGUAACUCAGAAUACUGGGAUAGAGUUAUGCAUUAAGAGUGGGACGAUAGGACAUUAUGCAAACAGAGUCCCUAAAGAGAGAUGUUUUAGUGGGUAAAAUAAUUUUUAAGAAUUAUUUAGAUACUCCCUACCAAUAAGUACUCACAGAUAUUAACCUCCCAGACUUCCACUGUCCUCCAGAGAUCGAUGGGAAAAGAGGAAUGAAUCACUAAAAAUAAAGCUCAAUAACUAAAAGAGCUUUAUCCUCCAAACUUCUUGGAUCAGUACAGUCAGUGGGGACUAUGUUGAUUCUCUCAUGGAUGCUGGAGAGACUCCAGCCUGGAAGCAAGGCAGCUGAGAGUCUUUAAGUUUCAUAAGAAGGGUUACUAUUAAGUAUAAGAUGAUUCCUGAAAACUGGGCCUGAGCAUGGAAAAGUAACACUGCUUCUCCAAGUUCACUCUGCUUGGACACAGGGGUGCAAGAGGUGCUGGGAGAUGGUUCAGCUAGCCGAGGGUUGUUUCCACAGAGUACAGACAAGGAUAGGGUUCAAAUGGCAGUGGGGAGAUUCAGGAUACAUAAAGCAGAACUUUUGACACUGAGUGUUGAUAAACACUGAGGACUGUCGAGAGAUCCUGUUUUCUGGAGAUGCUUAAAAGAAGGUUGCUAUCUUAUCUGACAGGGAUGGUUUAGGGUGCCGGACUGUAGCCUGGAGAAGGGUUUAUAUCCUUGAUCAUUAUAUAAAAUAAGUCAUUUAAAAAACUUUUUGUAGCCUCACUCUCUUCAAGGAAGCUAAAGCUGAGUUACAAUUCUGAGAUUUCUGUGUCUAUUUCUUCACCUCUCAUCUUAGAAUUUCUGCCGAGGCAAGUAAUUGCUAUUCUUUCUCUACAAUGAAAAAGAAAAUGAAAGAACAGCAAAGCAGGCAGGGAGACCAGAUAACCUCGUGCUCCAGAAUUGAGUGUAAAUUAAGAGUCUAGAGGCUCUGAGGUUUGUUAUUGAUGCCAAAUGGGCAGGAGGAGCACUGAGAAUCACAAGAACUGGAUUCAAACUCAGAUUCUGUUACUUAACAGCAAAAAACCUCAACUAAGUUACCAAGUCCCUGAGCUUCAUUUUCCUUCCCUUGAAGUGAGGAUAUUAAUAUCUGCACUGAGUACAUAUUGGGGCUGUCUGAGGAUCAGAUGAAGUCAUGUCUGUGAAAGCACUCCUUGAACUGUGAAAUAUUGUAUGUGGCAUUGUUAGAAACAGACAAAUAAGAAUCUUAUUUUGGCCAUUAACCUUAACUUUCUCUUAACUUUUCCGUUCAUCCGUGGGAGAGUCACCAGAUGGACUGAUUUGAAUUUUCCUUUUUUGAUUUCUCAUCUCUCUCUCUGGUGGACGUGCUAAGGGGUAGGAACAUAAUCAUUGAUGGGCUUCAGGAGGGCAAAGGAUGGGGAAAAAAAGGACAUCGAUGAUUUUCCAUAUGGAUAACAAGACUUCAAACUCUGAAAAACUAAGAAUUAACUAUUUCCUAACUGCUCUGAAAUUUUUCCUGUACACUACAGAAACACACAGCAUAUUAUUGUCACACAGACACACAUUUUGUUGUCACACAUACACACACGUGUUCUAGCUCUGGCAGGUAUGAUCUUGGGCAAAUUAACUUCUCUGUGCAUUGGUUUUCUCAUAUGGCCAUUGGGAAAAUAAUAGUACCCAUCCCAUAAAAUUCUUGUGAGUGUUAAAUGAAAUAAUAAAUGUGGAAUUCUUAUAACAGUGUCUGGUAUACAGUGUCAGAAGUUUUAUAUGUCAAAAGUUCUGCUUUAUAUAUCCUGAAUCUCCCCUCCUGCUAAUUGUACUCAAUAAAUUAUUAUUUCUGGAUCUUAUUUGAUCUUCACAACCCUGUGAAUUUUCAGUUCAUAUUGUCCCCCAUUUUACAAUUAGAAACGUGAAUGACUUGUUCAAGGUGACUCUGCCCCCUAGGGGUUUGUAAUUGGAUCACUUUCCAUGAAAGUGUCCAACAGGAGAACAGCACCUAGUAGUGUGCAGGGUUAGGACCCAGAAGAUAAAGUGAACACUCUCUUAGAGUUAAAAUUAUCUUUGAAAGACCUUUAAAUCACUUACAGUAUACAUACUUCUGUGGAUAUGACUUCAUAGGAUAAUUCUUAAGGACACUAAAAUUCGAGAAUCGUGGGGUAAAUUCAGGAAGACACUAAAAGCAAGUCUAUAUGCAGCUGUCUGAACAUUCAGACUAUUUUGCUUUUUAGAAAACUAAGGUGUUUCUAUUGUCUACAAGAGUUCCUCCACACUGAUUUUUAAAGACUAUUAAGCCUUUAUGCCUUAAUAUAUGUCAAUGGAUUUGUCUAUUAUGGAUAGAACAACCAGGAACAGGGAGUCUUAAGAAUUAGGUUCUAAAAUUGGAGGCCGGGCGCGGUGGCUCAUGCUUGUAAUCCUAGCACUGUGGGAGGCUGAGGCGGGUGGAUCACUUGAGGUCAGCGGUUUGAGAGCAGCCUGGCCAGCAUGGUGAAACACCGUCUCUACUAAAAAUACAAAAAUUUGCUGGGCGUGGUGGUGUGCACCUGUAAUCCC
rnacentral:lncRNA from 1 species